rnacentral:lncRNA from 1 species
GGGGUACGUGCAGACUCCUAUCCACAGGCUGAUUCCCCCCACAUUGAAAAUCAGUGGGCAAGAGAUUUUACAGCCACAUGCAGAAACAGCACAGUAAGCUCUGAUAGUCAUCCUAAAAUUGGUCUUGUGGUCUGACCAGCAUCAUGAUUGUCUUCAGAAUAGCUGAUCUUUAGUUCCAAUGUCAGUUUGUUCCCAUUUGCUUGAGGCCAGGUCUUGGAAUUGGGGCAGCCUGUGUCAUGGCUGCAGUCUGGUCAUUUCAUAAUUAACUUCUACCUGAUAGGGGUUUCAGUAUCUAUAAGACAGCUCAGAGGAUAUGGCUCAACAUAUUAUCUACAGCCCAUGAGGAAGUCCUUGACUUUACUGAAUGGCUAAAUUUUUGUUAUUUUGCCUCGCUUGACUAUUUUCUUUUGCUUCUUCAUUUUCUCAUUUCUCUGAUUAAACUUAUUCUUUAAAGUUUUUCUACAGACAAAAGGCAGGCAGAUGACAUGGCAUGGAAGGACCACAGGGUUCUGCUCUAUUUCAUUAUAUAUAUAAACUGGGGUAAAAUGUGCAUAGCCUAACAUUUACUAUUCCAACCAACUUUAAUUGUACAGUUUGGUGGCAUUAAGGGCAUUCACAUUUUUGUGCAACCAUCACCAACUUCCAUCUCCAGAACUCUUUUCAUCUUGCAAAACUGAAGUCUGUACCCAUUAAUCCCCAUUUUCCAUCCCCAGACCCUGACAACAACCAUUCUAAUGCCUGUUUCAUUGAAUUUGAUUAUUAUAGGCACCUCACAUAAGUGGAAUCAUAAAGUAUUUGUCAUUUUGUGUCUCAAGGUUCAUCCAAGCUGUAGUUCCUCUUCUACUUUUAUUGUUUAUUUUCUUUUUGUUUUUAAGCAGUUGAUGCCCAGCUCAUGUAUUUCCAUUUAUUCUGAUUUAAUUAUAUAAGUGCUUUGGGCUCUGAUUUUACUUCUCAUCAAAGCUUUAACAGCAAUGUGUUUGUUUUGAUAUGUAGAUUUUUUAUCUUUACUUUCUAAGUAUUCUAUACAUUCUAUACGUUCAGUUUUGACAUCUUCUUUGAACGAAGAUUUUUUGACGUUUUAAAAAUUUCCAAAUUGUUUUUUUUUUUUUUUUUUGUCUUUUUAGGGCCACACCCACAGCAUAUGGAGGAUCCCAAGCUAGGGGUUGAAACAGAGCUGUAACUGCUGGCCCAUGCCACAGCCACAGCAACACAGGAUCUGAGCCAUGUCUGUGACCUACACCACUGUUCACGGCAAAGCUGGAUCCUCAACCCAGUGAGCAAGGCUAGGCGUAGAACCUCCAUUCUCAUGGAUACUACUCAGAUUCAUUUCUGCUGAGCCAUGAUGGGAAUUCUAAAAUUUCAAAAUUUUUUAAAAGUUAAAAAUUAAUUUCUAAUUGUAUUACAUUGUGCUUUGAGCACCAUGUAUUCUGUCCUAUUUCUAUGUUUAUAAUUUAUUGAGGUAUAUUUUAAGUUUCUUAAUAUAAUCAUUUUUGCAAAUUUUCCAGAUUAUAACCUUGAAGUUCUGGCCUUUGACACCAACAAAUUUAGAUAGGCAGGAGGGUCUACACUCUAUGCUAACAAUACUUCUCUUUUAGUUUCCUUUCCUUUUACUAUUAGAUAUUUAACAAUUCAUAUCAAUUGUUGAUUUUAUUCUGAAUGUUUUCCUUAAAUUCACACUUUGAAAUCAGGGCUGCAGAUUUCUUUUUCUGAGCUUAUGCCUAGUAUAGCCUUAUCCAUACACACACACACACACACACACACACACACAUAUAUUGGCUUUUUAGGACUGCACCUGCAGCAUAUAAAGUUUCCCAGGCUAAGGGGCUAGAGGUCUAAUUGGAGCUGUAGCUGCUGGCCUAUGCCACAGCUGUAGCAAUGCCAGAUCCGAGCAGUGUCUGCAAUCUACAUUACAGCUCACAACAAUACCACAUCCUUAACCCACUGAACGAGGCCAUGGAUUGCACCUGCAACCUCAUGGUUCCUAAUCAGAUUCAUUUCCAAUGCACCAUGAUGGGAACUCCGCCUUAUCCAUAAUUUUAUUUUUAACCUUUUUUGAAUUACUUUGUUGUAGGUUUGCCUUGAAUAUGCAUUUACAUUUUAAUGUUGCUGAUGUGUUUGGUUCUGAUAUUAUUUUUCCUUAAAUAUUUUUUAUGUUUCUGUGCAUGAAAUUGAUAUUUCAUUUGUAUCCUAUGUUUUGAAUUUUCUUUUUUUUUUCCUCCUUUGGUGCAUAUGUAUUCCUUUUGUUAAAAUGGAAGACAUUAUUGGUAUGUAUUUCAAAUGGUCACUUACAUGCUUUUACACAGUGUAAUCAAACUUACAUUUCAUGAUUUAUCAACCUCAACCUGUUCCCGGAGUUUUCCCAAUGUUCUGAAAUGGUGGGAUUGGGGUUCUCAAUUUGUUUCCAAAGCUCUGCAACUUACCAUUUAUUUUACUUGUCCAUCUCAUCUUUCAGCUCUUGCUUCACUGAAAUCCAUUUCUCAUUCUUAUACAGCACUUUGGAGAUUUCUCUUGUUUGGUUCUCUUUUUCUAGGGUGGUAACUUUCCAUCUCUGCCCCAGGCCAGGGUUACUCUCUCUCUUCUGUUCUCUCUGCCAUCUUGGCAUGAAUGCCUUGCUACUUAUUUCCCUCUUGCUUCUGCUGAUUGGGCACCUCUGGGUGGACCUUCUGUUUCCUCUGAAAGAGAAGCUCUCCAGAGCUCUUCCCAAAUUCUCUGCCCUCUCAUUCAGGCUGGAGGUGAAGACUCAGACCUUCCACUUUCUUCUGUUUUUUUUUUUUUUUUGCCUUGAGGAGCUGAAAGGAAGGAUGGAAAAUUGGUCUUGUACAUUUUUACCUUUUUUUGCUGCAGAUGUUGCUAUGUUAAGUGCCACUAAUAUUCAGGUUGAGGAAACCUACCUUGAUAUUUAUUUCUCUAAUUGAGCAUGAAACCCUGGGGCCUUCUAUCAGCUGGUUAUUAUCUCACCUGCAGCAUUGCCCACCCCAUCCCUAAACCCACCUCCAUGGAUGAGGGUGCAGGUACUGGCACGUUGGAGGAUGGGAGCACUAUCUUUUGCUGUGACUGUGCCUUGGAGGUGGUUAAAAUCACAUCCCCUUUUCUUUCUGCUCAUCUGGGUAAGACCCCCCAGUGGGUUUCCUGCUUCUGUAGAGAGCCUCAAGGGCUCUGUAGCGGGGUUUCUAGAAACUUCCCCCUCCAGAUCACAACUUCCCUUCUCUGUUACCUCACUCCAUGUUGGUGGGGCUGGGGGAGCAGCGUCAGGUCCUCUGGUGGGAUGUAUAGGUCGGGUGUCACUCUGAUGCAGAGUCUGUGCUUCUGAUGCAGAGUCUGUGCUUCUGGGGUCCAUGCCAUGCUUGACUCUCUUUCCUGGGCUGCAGCAUCUUGAAGAGUGUGGCAUGUGACCCUGUCAAGUCACUUCCUUCACUGCUGCUGUUUAGUAAUUUUGUUGUUUGGGGAAGGAGCAUCUCUGGUCCUUCUUUCCUCCACCCAUAGUACCUUUUUAGAAAAAUGAGUGUCAGUGGAGAGUGAUGUACUCAAGCACCAAGGCUAGUGGUAAAAUAUACUACCGAUAAUUUGAGAGUACUGUAGCAGAUGUUUUUAACUUUAUUUUGAAGCUGUUGAUCUUUUUUUUUUUUUUUAAAUGGAAACCAAAAUUGGUUUUUAUUCAAUGUAGGAAUUCCUGAACAUUUGGGGUUUAAUAUUUCAAGUUGAACUUGAGCCUUUUGUCACUCUAGGCUCAGAAUAAUGACUUGAUCCUUUUCAAGAGCAAUAUUUUAAUAGCUUCUUAAAAAUCAAUUUCCAAAGUGUAUUUCAAGAGUAGAGUUAGAGACUCAAGUAGCUCUUUAAGAAUGUAGUUUGAUGCAUAAAGCAUAAUUGGUGUGAAAUUGUAGAUCUUUAUGCCCAAGGAGCUUCUGUAGUUGUGGGUUUAGGAUUUCUCCAUCUAUAAUUGCCCAUAUUUCUCUCUAUGGUAAAUUAAAGUAACCAAGAAUCGGUUAUUUCUUUGUAGCAUUUCUUUUUAUUAAUACUGACUGCAUAGCUGCCUUCUAAAACACAUUGCUUUGAACCAUCAUUUUAAGAUAAGGAUAGUCUUGGAGUUCCUAUGUGGCUCAGUAGGUUGAGGAUCCGGCAUUGUAAUUGCAGUGGCACAGGGUUCAAUCUCUGGCCCAGAAACUUCCACAAGCCCUGAGUGCAAUAGAAAGAAAGAAAGAAAGAAAGAAAGAAAGAAAGAAAGAAAGAAAGAAAAGAAAAGAAAAGGAUAGUGUGGCAGAAAUAAAUACUUUAGCAUUAAAAUGAGUUCUGGGAGUUCCCGUCUUGGCGCAGUGGUUAACGAAUCUGACUAGGAACCAUGAGGUUGCGGGUUCGGUCCCUGCCCUUGCUCUGUGGGUUAAUGAUCCGGUGUUGCCGUGAGCUGUGGUGUAGGUUGCAGACGCGGCUCGGAUCCCGAGUUGCUGUGGCUCUGGCGUAGGCUGGUGGCUACAGCUCCAAUUCGACCCCUAGCCUGGGAACCUCCAUAUGCCGCGGGAGCGGCCCAAGAAAUAGCAACAACAGCAACAACAAAAGACCAAAAAAAAAUAAAAUAAAAUGAGUUCUGUUUCCGCCUGUGCAUUUUAGUAAUUGCUACACAAUAUAAAUGGCCAUUAUGCUUUUCCAACAUGAUAAAACUCAGAAACUCACCACCUAUUUAAAAUGACAAUCCAGGUUAGUCCUGUCCAUAUUUCAAUGUCUGUGUACACACUGUCGUCCUUGGCCUCUAGCUCCUGUGUGACGGUAUUAUAUACAUCAUAUACUGUUUAUAGAGGGAGGCUCUUGCCGAAAUAGCGGCUGCCUCUAUAACUGAUGCUAGAUAGAAAUGCCGAGACAGAGCUGGAGGAAACAGAAAAGGUAGCUUUAAUUGCCAGGCAAACAGGGAACACAGCAGGCUAGUGCCUCUAGGACUGUUCCCCCCUGGAGGGGAUAGUGAGGAGUUUUAGUGCUCAAGGAGCAGAGUGCGAUCAGCUGGUGGACAUUUUCUUGAUUGGCUGGUGGUGAGGUAAUUGGGAGUCAGCAUCAUCAAUCUUCUGUUUGCAACCGGUCUGAGAACUACAUGCUCAAGGGGAACAUACAGUUAAAACUUCUUCCACCUGGAGAGGCUUUGGCACCUGCAAAACGCUCCGAGGACAUGGCUCAGAAUAUUAUCUUUAGUCCUUGAGGAAGAAGUAAAUGUCCUUGACUUUGUUGAAUGGCUAAACUAUUAUUUUUUUGCCUUGUUUGAAUCUUUUUCUUUGUACGUUUAAUCUUGUCUGAUUAUAGUGGUUCUUUGACUAAAGUUUUUCUACAGACAAAAGGCAGGUGGAAGACAUGUGUGAGUGGUCUAUUCUGGGAAAGCCCCACAGGGUCCUGCUCGGUUACAAGGCCUGGUGACUCAUUUGAGGAAGCAGUGCUUCAAAUCUUUUAUGGAAAGUGGCAAGUUCACUAUCUUCAAUUACAUUCAGUAUUUCCAAAAUAGACAAAAGCAUCUUUGCCAUCAGUC